rnacentral:rRNA from 1 species
CGCGAAUUCGCCCUUCGGGGCGCAGCAGGCGCGAAAACUUUACAAUGCUGGAAACAGCGAUAAGGGGACCUCGAGUGCCAGGUUACAAAUCUGGCUGUCGUGAUGCCUAAAAAGCAUUGCAUAGCAAGGGCCGGGCAAGACCGGUGCCAGCCGCCGCGGUAACACCGGCGGCUCGAGUGGUAACCGUUAUUAUUGGGUCUAAAGGGUCUGUAGCCGGCCGGAUAAGUCUCUUGGGAAAUCCAGCAGCUCAACUGUUGGGCUUUCAGGAGAUACUGUCUGGCUCGAGGCCGGGAGAGGUGAGAGGUACUUCAGGGGUAGGGGUGAAAUCUUGUAAUCCUUGAAGGACCACCAGUGGCGAAGGCGUCUCACCAGAACGGACCUGACGGCAAGGGACGAAAGCUAGGGGCACGAACCGGAUUAGAUACCCGGGUAGUCCUAGCCGUAAACGAUACUCGCUAGGUGUCGGCCACGGUGCGACCGUUGUCGGUGCCGUAGGGAAGCCGUGAAGCGAGCCACCUGGGAAGUACGGCCGCAAGGCUGAAACUUAAAGGAAUUGGCGGGGGAGCAC